UACGAAGGGGGCGAGCGUUGUUCGGAAUUACUGGGCGUAAAGGGCGCGCAGGCGGCCUUUGAAGUCAGGCGUGAAAGCCCCGGGCUCAACCUGGGAGGUGCGCUUGAUACUCGAGGGCUUGAGUGCGGGAGAGGAGAGUGGAAUUCCCAGUGUAGAGGUGAAAUUCGUAGAUAUUGGGAAGAACACCGGUGGCGAAGGCGGCUCUCUGGACCGUAACUGACGCUGAGGCGCGAAAGCGUGGGGAGCAAACAGG
rnacentral:rRNA from 1 species